GUAAACCUCCCAACUUGUGGGAAGGUUACCAUGUGUUUCUCAGUGUUCAAAGCUGAGAGUAUUUGUAACUCAAAGCCUGUAGGUAAGAGUUGUUUGUUCUUGAAUGAAGCUGUGAAGCAAGUUCAAGUUGUUUAACAUUACAUUGUAUUUGUAGUGAUAGGAAUGGAAACUGGAGGUUUCUAUCUAGGAGUUCCUAGGUAUAGAUUGCAUUGGGUAGGGAUUAAGUGAAGAGUUGUAAACGGGGGAGUUUAACUCUGAAUUAAUACUGCUGAUAGUGGAUCUUCUUCCUGGCUUGGUAGCCCCCAGAUGUAGGUCAUGUUGGACCGAACUGGGUAAACAAUUUUCUGUGUUUGUUUUCCUUCUGCAUGUUAUAAUCCUGUCUGCCAUAACUCAGGUUGUAAUUCAGUCUGCUUAUCAAGUUAAUAACAGACCUGAUACAUAGCCUUCUGUUUGAAUGUCAAUCAGAAUGUUUUGACAUUCAUCAUUAACAACACAUACUGAAUAAUAGGCAUGUUGAUCUCAGUUCAGUAUUUAGUUAAGUCUGGUCUUCAAGAGGAUAACAGACCUGGCCAAAGGAUCAUAGUGAAACUGUCAAACUGGAUGUCUUGACAGUUGUACGUGUAGGCUGAUACUGAAGUAGAGACUGAUUAGUCUUUCACAGUAUAGUAAAGUUAGCACAGUCUGUUUUCAGGAACAUAACAGAAUCAACAUGAGGUAUAUGUUCUGAAUGUCAAACUAAAUGUUGUGACAUUCACACCUGACAGUUGGUGCUAAAUUGUAGGAUAAUUAGUUUUUCCGUUUCAGUAUUUUACUCAGGCUAAUUUAAGGAAUCCAACAGCUGAGCUAAAAUCCAGGAAAAUAACAACUAACCUACAAUUAAUGAACCUAACAAAUAGCCUAUUUGUCAGCUCCCUAAUGUGUGGAAAUUAGGUUACCUUGUUUGACGUUUUGUUUAGGAAACACGAGUACUAAGCCAGCAAAUUGGAAUACAGUAACAGGUGAUGUGCAAAUCAAUAUUGAUAUAUCAUGUUGAUAACUGUCCAAACACAACAGAAGUAAGUGUGGUGUUUGAUCUCUGCUGUGUCUUUAUACAAGAAGGACAGAACUAGGUGUACUUCCAUUCCAAGGUAAUACAGUAGCAAAUGUCGUGACUACUGUGUAAUCGUGCUUGAGUACAGGGUUUUAAUUUGUAUAACUGACUUGCUGUAUUAGUUACAAUGUUGGAUCAGAUGUCAUGACUUGGAGUAGAACAUCUGAAUUUUGACUACGCCAGAAUUUCAAUUGGUAUCAGAGCUGGCAUCCUGUUCUGUUUCUGGAUGAGAUCCAUGGGUGAUACUUUCUGGUAUCUUGCAAGGAGUUGUGUUAAUACUGAUGUUGGAACCUGUGGAAGGUUCUGUGAUGUCCCUGAAUGGUCCCUUGAAGUAGGUGGAUGGACUAUUCAUGACAGGAAAUGUGUGAACCUGUCUCUGAAGGCUGGCAAUUGGCUCUUACGUGGGACAGCUGUGCCAGUAUUGAAUCAUAUUCAAACUUGGUAUGGUCUUGGAGGCUGAUCUGGUGAAGUGUGUGUUCAUAGGUUGAGUUGUAUUAUGAUUUCCGCUGCAUAAUACCUGUCAAAACUCAAACUCUGAUGUAGUUUCCCCUCGUGUGGAUGAAAGGCUGCUGGAUUCAAGAUGUCAUCAUAAUCUACUGAAGAUGUCCAAGAUACUUGAGUCUCCUCAAGUCCACUCAUCAUGGUAAGGAUCACCUGAUCACUGAUUCCUUUUACUCCCUUGGGUAGUGCAUAUAAAGUCCUUGAAGACUUUCAAGGAGAGUUCGUACCAAGGAGGUGGAACUAAUGUUCUAUGAGAUGUUAGAACAUGUUGUUCAACAAGUAUGCAGCUACUGGUUGAAGAGCAGAUGUUUAGGUGUCAAACAAAGGGAUACUUUUGUUUGGAACCUACUCCUGACCUGGAAGAGGAGACAUCUGUGAGUGCUAAGUUGACAAGGGUAGGGUCAACUGUGUGUAUGCUCAAGAAGGUCACUUUUAGAAGUCUGAUCUCUAGAAGUGGAGCUGGUUGAGAUGUGACAUUGUGCAAUCCCUGAUGUGUGCCUUAUCCCUGUAGAUUGAUCAGGGUUGGAUAGUUGUUCCCUGAAGUACUAUGUUGUGUUGGAAGACAAGUCCCCUGGAUGUUAGAAGUCAAUAAUGGGGUAACCUGACUGCUAUUUCAUUUAAGAGGAUUGGGACCAUGAAUCUUGUUAUUCAAACACCACGCUCAGAAGUGGCAGUUCUUUCAAGGAGUGAGAAUAUGAAGAUUCAGAGGUUGGUUGAGGUAGUAUGCUCUGGCAAUGCAUAUCUACUAUUGACUGGUGUUGUUUUUUUUCACUAGUACUUAUGGUCAGCUGGAGUCUGAUUGGUGUGAUUGGAGUAUGUAUAGGUAUAACUCAUAGAGUUAGUUGCCACUGGUAGGGAUGGUGUAUGUCAUGUUGAGACAUUUGUGUACAAUGCAUGGAUAUUGGUGUGGAGUUUCCAUGAUUGUUAAUUUGAGGGGGAGUUUUGGUUAACCUCCUCACGUUUGGUCAGCCUAGGGUCUGGUUGGCUGUUGACCUGUGUCACAUGGGUUCUGGUUGUUGUGUGACACAUUUGCAAGGAAGGAUUCAUCUCUCUCAUUCCUAAGGGUGAAUCUAAUCUGGAAAGAUUCUCAAAACUGUUGAGGUGCUUGCAAGCAGAAGAUGUUGACACAAGAAGAGUAUUUUCAAAGUAUUCUUAUGGUGGAAGUAUCUGAAAGGAAAAUUGGGAAAGGAUUUAAGAUCAAUGUCUACUUGUGCCAAGUACAAGUAUUUAAUUGAUUAUCCUUGGAGCUCAAGAUAACUGAUGUUCUUAAAGAUGUUGGAACAUCACUUCUUCAAGACCCUGUGCAGAAUCACAGGAAGGAUAGUACAUUGGUUUAUGAUCUAUCUCUUUGGUGGCAGCAAAAGCAUAUGAUCUCUGAAAAGGUUUCCUGGCAAGAAACAUGUUCAGCCUUGGUAUGUACAAGAAGAAGAAGACAUCAUAGUCUUGAUGGUGGUUACUUGGAUCAGUUUAUUUCUGAUCUAGGUAAGGAAGUGCAUUAGCUAAUGCACACUGUGGAGUCAAGAACAAGUGGCAGCAGUCUUGACAUCAUGGAAACAGCCUUGCCUUAGGAUGUGGAAUCCUUGGUAGAGCUGAAGGGUUAGUGUCUAACUGGUCCUUCUGAAGACUCAUACAUCAGAGUGUCUGAUGUCUUUGGAGAAGAAGCAGGGAUUCAUCAAGGUGUGAGCUUGGAUGACUUAACUGCAAACCUGCAGGAUGGAGGUUGUUUACUCAAACUUGGUUCCACAAUCAAGUCUAUGAGAACAUUGAACUCUUGUUCUGUGAAGGGAGGAAGUUCUUUCAAGUGGCAGAAGAAGGAGCUGAAUUCAACAGCUGGAUGUCAAAACACAAUGUUGUGACAUUUGGUUCAACAUCAGAUUCUUAGUUGGUGAAGUGGCACAUCAACUUGAGAUAGAAGGGUCUACAGGGUUGUAGAUUGGACACUUCAAAAGGCUUGAAGUUCAAAUCUCACUUGGAAGGUCAGAACAUCUUUGGGAGAAGUCUGAUAAACUUGGAGAGGUCAAAAAGUGGCAUUUGACUUUUUCAUAUGAGGAUUCAUGAAGGAGGUAAUCAACCAGUGGCAUUUGGUCUAUCUCAGAAGUGAGUUCGAAGAAUCAAGAUAAUCAACAUAUGGCAGCUAAUUAUUCUUGAGGAAAGUCUGAGACAAAUUAAUUUUGAGCAGAAAAGGAGUAAGUUGAAGACAAAAAGAGGUGGUUUCUAUUCAUCUCUUGGAGCUUGUGGUAGGAGUUCUGAGCUAUCUAUGGAAGAUUAUCUAUUGUAAUGGGAUGAAAAAGUAUAUGUCCCAAUUUAUGUCUGGGUUUUCUUGAUCAAGCUGGUGACUCAGUGAUAUCUGAAGACUAUCAGAUGGUGUGCUUUGUUAUGUUGUGAAGGAUGUCCCAACUAAUGUUAGAACAUUUUGUGGAGUGGUGUUCUGUUCUGGUUAGAAGAGAGAUUGACACAGAGUGUAGAUGUGUUCAGCCCAGAGGGUUGAACAGAGGGGGUGCUCUUGAAGACAUGAAGAUGCGUCUUAUGUUUUCCAUUCAUCAAGUGGUCUGAGUUCUCUUUGAAUCAAGAAGUAUUUGAAGGUCCAACUCAUCUUAUGUUUUCCAUUCAUCAAGUGGUCUGAGUUCUCUUUGAAUCAAGAAGUAUUUGAAGGUCCAACUCUGGGGUGUUGGAUAUGUUCCUGUGUGAUCACCAAGUAUCAAGAGGAGAGUUGGAUGUUAAUGACAGGGGGAGUUAUAUCCUUGUGCUGCAAGUAAUCAUCAAGCUGGUGGUCUAUGUGUUCUCAGAUAACAAGGCAUGGCACCUUGUUAGCUAUUGGGAUGAUGUGGUGCAUGUGAAUGCUGAGUGAGCAUAAGAAUGUCUGACCGGAUGUCAUGACAUUGCCUGGGACAAUAGUUUUCCUUCUAAAGCUCACAGUCAUUAGGAAAUAUGGAUGUGAUGUGUCUAAUCAGAAUAAGCCUGAGUGCUACAGUUGUGUGUUACAGGGGGGGUAACCAUCUACUGAUGUGUGGGAUUUUGGCUGUAGUGGUGCCAGAUGUCAAGCCACUACUGGAGGCACGAAGAAUACAUGAAGAAUACAGACAAAAGCCACGUGGAAUGUUAAGACAUCGCGUGCAACGCGUCUGUCUGCAUAUAUGGAAUAGUCUUCAUGCACUGGAACUGUUGUUUCGGAAAAGAAACAAUCAAGAGCUAUAAAAGGUAUUCAAAGAUAGCCUGAGAUUUUUUUUGGUGAUUCUCUGACUGUUUCUCAGCAGAUAUUAAUGAAUCUUGACCAAGCAUUUAUUCCCACCGUUAAUUCCUAAGCACGGGCUGGACUAUUUAAAGGAUGUAUCAGCUCUCCUCUUCUCACAAGAGAUACAUUCCAUUCCCUCUAAACCAUGGGGUAUGUCAAGGUAUGGGCAAACUGCGCUUGGAUCUGGUUUUGUGAAGGGUUCAGUUGUAAAUGUUUAGCUAAAAAGGGGGAGAGAAAUAGGGUCCUGAGAAUGUACCAGAAGCAAGCAAACUGUGAUAGCAAACAGAAGUUGGCGUCAGGCACAAAAGCCACCAACUGGGUAUAUCACUUGUGUCUUGUGAUCUGAGUUAAGAAGACAGAUGUGUCUUGUGAUCUGAGUUACAUUGUCUAUGUACUCAGCAUUACAUAUUCUUCAGGAAGCCCUCCUGCUGAGGGGAAGGGCUGUGAUGCAGCUGCGCCAUGUACCUCUACUUCCUCAUGUACACCAACUUUGGUGUUUGUGGUGGUGGAGAUAAUGACAGAGGCUUAUUUGUUUUAGCUAAAAUUUGCCAAAAGGGGAGAUUGUUAAUACCUUAGGAUUGGCAUUAAUUUUGUAAAACAAAUAAUGUAAUCAUCUCUGUUGUUUUAAUAUGUUGGGUUGAAGAAGUUCAACAUCUGGACCAACAUGUCAUGUACGAUGUCACGACAUCAUGCCUGUGACAUCGUACAUGUGUAGAAAACUGAAUUAAUUAAUUCAGUAUAUAUUCUAGGAUUAGUAAGGAUAUUUGGUGAAUAUCCUAACUCCCAUGUGGAGGUCUUAAAGACUCAAUCAGAAUAUAUAUAGGCUCAAAAUAAGGAGAUAUAUAUGGAGAGAUUUUAGGAUUGAAGACCUUGUUUGUAGCAGAAAUUUUCUGCUGACUUUGUAACAGCAAAGAAGAAGUUUGCUGCGAUUUCUGAAGGCCCAAAUCCAGUUGGGUGAUUAGGUUAUAAAUAGCAAAUUGUAACCUAGUUUUUGUAAGCCUCUUAGAAUGAAAAAUUAGGGGUGUGUGUGAGGUAAACCUCCCAACUUGUGGGAAGGUUACCAUGUGUUUCUCAGUGUUCAAAGCUGAGAGUAUUUGUAACUCAAAGCCUGUAGGUAAGAGUUGUUUGUUCUUGAAUGAAGCUGUGAAGCAAGUUCAAGUUGUUUAACAUUACAUUGUAUUUGUAGUGAUAGGAAUGGAAACUGGAGGUUUCUAUCUAGGAGUUCCUAGGUAUAGAUUGCAUUGGGUAGGGAUUAAGUGAAGAGUUG
rnacentral:lncRNA from 1 species